CACGGGGUGAGCAAGCGUUGUUCGGAAUCACUGGGCGUAAAGGGCGUGUAGGCGGUCAAGUAAGUGGGAUGUGAAAUCCCUCGGCUCACCCGAGGACCUGCAUCCCAAACUGCUUGGCUUGAGUAUGGGAGAGGAUGAGGGAAUUCCUGGUGUAGCGGUGAAAUGCGUAGAUAUCAGGAGGAACACCGGUGGCGAAGGCGCACAUCUGGCCCGAUACUGACGCUGAGGCGCGAAAGCUAGGGGAGCAAACGGG
rnacentral:rRNA from 1 species